rnacentral:rRNA from 1 species
CGGCAGGCCUAACACAUGCAAGUCGAGCGGAUGAAGGGAGCUUGCUCCUUGAUUCAGCGGCGGACGGGUGAGUAAUGCCUAGGAAUCUGCCUGGUAUGGGGGACAACGUCUCGAAAGGGACGCUAAUACCGCAUACGUCCUACGGGAGAAAGCAGGGGACCUUCGGGCCUUGCGCUAUCAGAUGAGCCUAGGUCGGAUUAGCUAGUUGGUGAGGUAAUGGCUCACCAAGGCGACGAUCCGUAACUGGUCUGAGAGGAUGAUCAGUCACACUGGAACUGAGACACGGUCCAGACUCCUACGGGAGGCAGCAGUGGGGAAUAUUGGACAAUGGGCGAAAGCCUGAUCCAGCCAUGCCGCGUGUGUGAAGAAGGUCUUCGGAUUGUAAAGCACUUUAAGUUGGGAGGAAGGGCAGUAACUUAAUACGUUGCUGUUUUGACGUUACCGACAGAAUAAGCACCGGCUAACUCUGUG